rnacentral:rRNA from 1 species
CCUACGGGCGGCAGCAGUGAGGAAUAUUGGUCAAUGGGCGAGAGCCUGAACCAGCCAAGUCGCGUGAGGGAGUACUGCCCUAUGGGUUGUAAACCUCUUUUGUCGGGGAGCAAAAGCCGGACGUGUCCGGCUGUGAGAGUACCCGAAGAAAAAGCAUCGGCUAACUCCGUGCCAGCAGCCGCGGUAAUACGGAGGAUGCGAGCGUUAUCCGGAUUUAUUGGGGUUAAAGGGUGCGCAGGCGGAUUUUUACGUCAGCGGUCAAAUCGUGGGGCUCAACCCCAUCCAGCCGUUGAAACUGGGGAUCUAGAGUGUGCGAGAGGUAUGCGGAAUGCGUGGUGUAGCGGUGAAAUGCAUAGAUAUCACGAAGAACUCCGAUUGCGAAGGCAGCAUACCGGCGCCCAACUGACGCUGAGGCACGAAAGCGUGGGUAUCGAACAGGAUUAGAUACCCCUGUAGUC